rnacentral:lncRNA from 1 species
GUGUUCGUUCUCGGUAUAUGGAUUUUAUUCUUUUUUAUGUUUAAUACAUUGUUUUGUAAUUCGUUAAACAGGUGAUAUAACAAUUAUAAAUAUACGCAACAUAGAUAUCGACAGCCAUAAAAACAUCUUUGCAAAAGGUUAGUGAUAGUAUAUAAGAAAUUUUUAUAGAAAAGUGGUUGACAAAGAGAAUGUAACGUCUCAAUUAUCAUUAUCAGUGGAUUCUCGUGUUUUUGUUCUCAGUAUGUGGAUUCCAUUCUUAUUUGAUGGUUGGUAGCUUAUUUUGUAUUACAUUAAACAUGUGAUACAACGACUAGAAAUGUGUAAAAAUGGAUAUACAGUUAUUAAAAUUAAUAUUUUUAUAAGUUAUAUCUUAUUUAAAGAUGCAAACAAAUGAAAAGAAUUGAUGGAUACAUCAUGUUUAUAUAAUUUAGGAUUUAAAAAAAAAGUCUGCUCAAAGUGUCAAAAUAAUAGUAUAUAUUUAGUGAAACUAAACAUUUUUCUUCUUACUACUCUUUCUGCCUAUCUUCUCUAAUCGUUUCUUUUUCUUUCUUUCUUUUAGGUCGUCCUUAAUUGGUAAUAUUAAGGUUAUCUGAUUCUAACGAUGGCGAUUGAUGAAAGAUAACAAUCAAACAUUUUGUAAUUGACAUGGAAGGUCUCAUCAACUCAGUAUAGCCAGAUAUUUUGUCGACAACAAUUGCUGAUUGAUUUAAUAUUAGUUAAGCAUAAAAUAUUACUGCACUAAAACUCAGGCACAUAGAAUAGGAAUAACGUGCAAAAGAGGAUACUGAUGUUAUUUAAAGUAAGCUUUUCUUUUAGCUGUACAAUAUCUUUUCUUUUUUUCUGCCCCAAGUUUUAUUCCUUUUCGUUUAUAUUGUUUCCUACAAAUAAGUGUUUUUUUAACAUCUCGAAUGAGUGUUAAUAGCUGG